UAGAAAACAUGGACAACGCGACAGCUCCCCGAAAAUGAAGCCAAAACGUCUCUAUCGCCGUCAUAAACCCCGCCUCCUCCAUGUUAGCGGAUAAGACUGGGGUUUGAUUCUAAUUCCUACCGCGGUGAUGUUAAAUUGGAGUGAGACGUCAUCAUAGCAGCUUUGACUGGCAGCUGCAGUCACGGAGAAACUUGCGUAUCUCUGUUCGGGAAUAGCAGAUAGAGCGUAGGCUCUGAGAGGAGGGCCAGCGUUUACGCUACGAAGACACGACCGAGUGUUUUAACCUGACAGCCUGAGGUGUUCUUCAGUAAACUGGACUCCCCGACAGAAGGACCCGAGGCCCUGCUGCACUUUUUCGGAGCUGCCCUCAGAUUCAGACCUCAGCACCACCCAGUGACA